rnacentral:rRNA from 1 species
UGGGGAAUUUUGGACAAUGGGCGAAAGCCUGAUCCAGCAAUGCCGCGUGUGUGAAGAAGGCCUUCGGGUUGUAAAGCACUUUUGUCCGGAAAGAAAUCCUUGGCUCUAAUACAGUCGGGGGAUGACGGUACCGGAAGAAUAAGCACCGGCUAACUACGUGCCAGCAGCCGCGGUAAUACGUAGGGUGCAAGCGUUAAUCGGAAUUACUGGGCGUAAAGCGUGCGCAGGCGGUUUGCUAAGACCGAUGUGAAAUCCCCGGGCUCAACCUGGGAACUGCAUUGGUGACUGGCAGGCUAGAGUAUGGCAGAGGGGGGUAGAAUUCCACGUGUAGCAGUGAAAUGCGUAGAGAUGUGGAGGAAUACCGAUGGCGAAGGCAGCCCCCUGGGCCAAUACUGACGCUCAUACACGAAAGCGUGGGAGCAAACAGGAUUAGAUACCCUGGUAGUCCACGCCCUAAACGAUGUCAACUAGUUGUUGGGGAUUCAUUUCCUUAGUAACGUAACUAACGCGUG